CCUGUGGGUUCCAGCGGCAGUUGGCGAUCGUCCUGCUCAGAGUGGCAAUCUCCUCCUCCGGGCCGUGUCCUCCGUGCUCACCGUCACGCUGUGAAAUUCUGGGCCUUUCUCACAAAGGCCCUGCUAUUCCUGAAGUCCAUGUUGACUGAGACCUAGAGUGGAUGCCUGUGAGGCUGGAGCAGGGAGAAGUAGCUCUCCUCAACCACCGGUGCAAGGGUACACUAGACAACCACUGUGGAAAUCAGUGCGGCGGUUCUUCUAACAGCUAGUGGACCACCCACAGGGGUCUGUUGAGGAAAAAGAACAUUGGCCCAUAAUGGGCAGCAGUGUUGGAGAGGCUGGUUUGUUCCAGUCAUCGCAAGAAUGCUCUCCAGGUGAUGGCCAGUAUAUCCGGGACCCAGCCAAUAUGUGCUGAAUCUGGAAUGGGAGCUCAUUCGGCUACUAUAGUAUACCCUGUGAUUUGGUUUAUGAUGACUUA